UUAUUUCCCCUUUUCACAGAUGGAGAAACUCGGGCUCGGAGAGGGGAGGUCAUUCAUCAAGGUCGUUCCGCGAACCGGUGGCUGAGCAGGGGGUCUGAGUCCAGGUGUGUCCCUUUGCCCCCUGCCCUUAUCUACGGGACGAUUCCUUCCCCCAGCCUGGGGGCAGGGCCUGGGUCUAGGGAGGAGACCAGAGGCAGGGAUGGUCAGGAAUUCAAAUUGGUAGAACUGGUGGGGGAGGGCCGGAGUGCCUGGGAGUGGCCGGCAGUGAGGGCUUGGGCAACCGGGCCCUCUGUGCGCAGGGCUCCAGGGGAGGGGGCAGCGAACGGGCAAGACUCUGCUGAGUCAGAGACGCCCCGGGGGCUCGGGGGGAGGCGUCAGGCAGGUAGUGCGGGCUGGGGCGGGUGGAGCACCCAGGGUGGUGGGCCAAGGGGCAGAACUGGGUGCUGGGGCCCCAGCCCGGGGUCAUCGGGAUUUAAGGAGAAAAGAGGCCUCCCAGAGGGCAGGGGGCCACCCUUUCCCGAGGAGGGAGUGGUCAGCCCCACAAGGUCAGGCCAGAUAAGGGCCACUGGGCCCAGCCUCCCUCGUGACUGCGACCAGAGGCUGCUGCCCCAGCCCAGGGGCUUCCUGGUGUGUGCAGCCACGAGGGAGCUGGCCCCUCCCCCACCAGGCAGGAAGCCCCCCCUACCCCCAGGCUCUUCCCCCAACUCCCUGAAGCAAAGCAAACGGGGACGCUGGAAUUUGGAAGCUCCCAGGGUUCCCCACUCCGAGCAGCCUUGGUCCACCCCAUCCCAUUGGCAGCCAACCGGGCAGAGCCCCCCAGGCCCUGCCCCCCCAGCUGGGAUUCAGGGUCUGCCUUCUCUCCUCCUGCCUCCCUCUGCCCACCUCUCCCCACUCCUCAUCGAGAGGCUCCUGCCUGCCCACCCGAGCCGUAUGGGUAGAGACCGCUCGCGACCCCAUUUCACAGGCGGGGAAACCGAGGCUGACAGAAGUCAGCUCAAAGGCAGUGGGCGUCAGUGGCCUGGCCAGGAUCUGGAUCCUGCUCCAACUGCCUCGCCAUGGGCUUCUCCAGAAACAGGCCUGCCAGCCUUCCCCACUCAGAGCCGGGACCGGGCCCCACCUUCAACCGUCCAACUCACCGGGGCCGGGCGCCCAGGCUGCAGUCUCCUGCAGACAGACCUCACAACAGACCCUGCCAGUCUGAUGGUGGAGGCUACCAGGAAGCUGGGGAGCAAGGUGCGGGGUGACCAGGAGUGCGAGGCGCAGGCCCGUGAGAGUCUGUAA
ensembl:lncRNA